rnacentral:rRNA from 1 species
GACGAACGCUGGCGGCGUGCCUAAUACAUGCAAGUAGAACGCUGAAGGAGGAGCUUGCUCUUCUGGAUGAGUUGCGAACGGGUGAGUAACGCGUAGGUAACCUGCCUGGUAGCGGGGGAUAACUAUUGGAAACGGUAGCUAAUACCGCAUAACAGUAGAUGUUGCAUGACAUUUACUUAAAAGGUGCAAUUGCAUCACUACCAGAUGGACCUGCGUUGUAUUAGCUAGUUGGUGGGGUAACGGCUCACCAAGGCGACGAUACAUAGCCGACCUGAGAGGGUGAUCGGCCACACUGGGACUGAGACACGGCCCAGACUCCUACGGGAGGCAGCAGUAGGGAAUCUUCGGCAAUGGACGGAAGUCUGACCGAGCAACGCCGCGUGAGUGAAGAAGGGUGUCGGAUCGUAAAGCUCUGUUGUAAGAGAAGAACGAGUGUGAGAGUGGAAAGUUCACACUGUGACGGUAUCUUACCAGAAAGGGACAGCUAACUACGUG